rnacentral:rRNA from 1 species
AAACCACCAGGGAUUGCCUUAGUAGCGGCGAGUGAAGCGGCAAAAGCUCAAAUUUGAAAUCUGGCACCUUUCGGUGUCCGAGUUGUAAUUUGAAGAUUGUAACCUUGGGGUUGGCUCUUGUCUAUGUUUCUUGGAACAGGACGUCACAGAGGGUGAGAAUCCCGUGCGAUGAGAUGCCCAAUCCUAUGUAAGGUGCUUUCGAAGAGUCGAGUUGUUUGGGAAUGCAGCUCUAAGUGGGUGGUAAAUUCCAUCUAAAGCUAAAUAUUGGCGAGAGACCGAUAGCGAACAAGUACAGUGAUGGAAAGAUGAAAAGAACUUUGAAAAGAGAGUGAAAAAGUACGUGAAAUUGUUGAAAGGGAAGGGUUUGAGAUCAGACUCGAUAUUUUGUGAGCCUUGCCUUCGUGGCGGGGUGACCCGCAGCUUAUCGGGCCAGCAUCGGUUUGGGCGGUAGGAUAAUGGCGUAGGAAUGUGACUUUGCUUCGGUGAAGUGUUAUAGCCUGCGUUGAUGCUGCCUGCCUAGACCGAGGACUGCGAUUUUAUCCAGGAUGCUGGCAUAAUGAUCCCGAACCCCCCCCGCUUG